AUCCGGAAUAAUUACGGAACAACGGAACGCACACGAGGCGAAUUACACGAUCACGGGUCUUCUACUUGCUGCCUCCGUCCUAGCUUCUUCUAAUUCUUCUAGUUAGAAUCUUCUGCCGUCUGCCACCGGAACCGACGCCGGAGAGCAGAGCGAGACGGCCUGAGUUCCGGAGGGUCUAGUGGGGCAGAGUCCCCCAAUGGGUAGGCCGCAGGUGCGAGCGGGACGGCCCGAGACCCCCAGCUCUCGGGAGAGCGAGAGCAAUUCUCCACGCUCUCUCCUCCACUCUCACUCUCCGUUCUCUGCCGAUCUGCUGCCGCUGCUGACGUCUGCUCAAUUUUGAACGUUGAUCUUCGUCGCGUUUCAAAACUUUUGUUGCUUUCGUUCCGAUCUUUUCUACACUGUGUGCCUCUACACUGAGAGAAAAUCCUACGAAAUUGGAAAGCUUUGUGUGUAAUGAGUAAAAACUACCAAGAAUGUUUAACUUUGACUAUAUUUCUUAUGUUAUAAAUAAGUACAUGGCUGUGAUCCUACAUGUAUCCUAUUCCUUCCGAAAUGGAACUCCAGUGUUCUAUAACAGAUCAACUUGCAAUAAAGCGAAUGCAAUUAGUGCGGCUGCCGGACGUCUGAGGCCCGUCAAAAUGUGAAACUCCGCCGUGAAGUGCCAACACUCCUCGUUCGCCAUCUCAUAUGGUCGGUACUCCCCUUACUCCGCAUACCCCCUACUUUCCAUACUCCCCGUCAAAGACCCACGCACUCUUCUCGUCAAUGUGCGUGGAGCUAUUUUGGGUGGAUUUAACAAUAGCCCGAAAAAAGAGGCAGCCAAGGAUGAAGAUAGUGAUAUCUCCAGACUUGGAAAUACUUAAAAAGAAAAAAUUUUAAUGCUCGGCAAACGCAGCGACAUGAUGCGGACAAAUGCCUGAAUAUAGAUACAUCCAAUGGAUGUGUCUCUGAUGAGCAAAUGCAAUUAUGUGGCAUGGGAUCAGGGGCAGGGUGGAGUUGAGGGCGCUGGGAAAUGAAUAGAGCCACGAAAUAGAGCAGCAACUCCUUCGUAUUCCCCUCUCGACGGUCCUGUUCUGCAUCUGUGUGUUUGCAUGUGGAAAGCCCCACUGAUGACAGACAAGCCACGGCAGAGAAAGCCAAAGGAUAACAUGAGAUAACACACAUCAAAAGCCACUCAGACCCCACACACGUACAGCGGGGGUUAGGCAAAUAGGAUGGGUUUUGAAUAGUAUUAUUUACAAGGGAAAUAAGGAUAAUGAUAAAUAUGUCAAAUGAAACGAUCGUGGUUUAUUCAACAUUCUCAUUUUAGGAACUUGUUCUUGUGAUUCCAUUUUGAGAUACUUAUUAAGACACACUUCUAAUGAAUUUUAUUCGAGUAUGUUUUAGGACCUAUCUUUUUGGAGCACUCUGUGGAUGCACGCACAUGUGCUCCCCAUCACAGCUGCUCGUGAUCCUUUGGCGACGAGAAAUCAGCGCUCAAAUAUGAUUAAUAAGUAAUUUCUUUGUCAACAAGUGACUGGGGAUGGCCUGCUAUGACGACAGCGGCGAUAACGACAACGAGAAUGAGAACGGAACGACGCCAUGGAAAUCUUUAAUAAAAUACAUGCAUAAAUAAAUUAUAGGGCAAACA